AUGAGGUGCCUUCCCCAACCUCCCGACCUGUUUCCUCCACCACAUCGAUCAGACAGAGCACCCGGAUCUGUGUCCUCCCCGCCGCAUUCCUUCUCCCCCGGCUCGCUGUCUUGCAAUCUCCGACCUCCCUGUCUCCUUCCUUCACCACAUCAGCCAGUCAGCCGCCGAGCCAAGAGAGCAGUCGAGAUGACCGGAGGAAUCGUGACCGUGGCGAGCGGGGUGAUGAACCCCCUCAUCGGCAAGCUCACCACACUCAUGGGCGACGAGUACAAGAAGUUCAAAGGGGUCAGGAAGCAGGCCUCAUUCCUCGAGAAGGAACUCAGCGCCAUGAACGCUGCCCUUCAGAAGCUCGAGCUCAUUGAUGAGAUUGAUCCAACCGUCAAGGAUUGGAGGGACCAUGUUAUGGAGAUGUCGUAUGACAUGGAGAAUUGUAUCGAUGACUUCAUGCGACAAUCUCGAGCCGACGAUGCCAAGGGGGGCUUCAUCAAGAAGACUGCUCGACGCAUCAAGAAGAUGCGAGAGCGUCUUCGGAUAGCCGACCGGAUGGAAGAGCUCAAGACUCUUGCCUUGGAGGCAAAUGCUCGGCGCCAAAGGUAUAAUAUUGAUGAUUGGAAGCCCACCACCAGCACCGUGCCUUUUGACCCACGAGUGCGAGCGGUGUACCAGGAGGCUGAUACUCUCGUGGGCAUUGAUGGCCCAAGGGAGGAGGUUGCCACUAUUUUGAUGGAUGCUCAAAAGAAACUCAAGGUGGUGUCGAUUGUGGGCUUCGGUGGUCUUGGUAAAACUACACUUGCCAAGCAGGUGUAUGACAAGAUUGGCUCGCUGUUCGACUGCAAAGCAUUCUUUUCAGUUUCGCAGAGGCCUGAUAUGACUGAGCUGCUCAACAAUUUCCAGUGGAAACUAGGGAUGAGGGAUCCCGAUACAUCUCGCACUCGCAAGGUUGACGACAUCAUUGAAGAGCUAAGGCAACAUCUGAAAGAGAAGAGGUACCUGAUUGUUGUCGAUGAUGUGUGGGAUCAACCAACAUGGAAUACUAUUAAGUGUGCUUUUCCAGAAGAUAUUAAUGGAAGUAGAGUGGUAGUUACAACACGAGUGGAAGAUGUGGCUGCAGCAGCCUGUCAGAAUGACGGUGAGGGCAUCUACAAAAUGAAACCUCUCAGUGAGCAAAACUCAAGAAUGUUAUUGUUGAAUAGAGUAUUUGGGUCCAAAAAUGAUUGUCUACCCCAACUGAAAGAAGUUAUGGCUGAGAUUUUGAACAAGUGUCAUGGAUUGCCACUUGCAGUUAUCACAAUAGCUAGCCUAUUAGCCAAUAAAGAAACGUCAAGGAAGGGUUGGGAGAGCAUAAGGGAUUCUUUGGGUACCCAGCUAGCCACAAAUCCCACCUUGGAAGAGAUGAAGAGUAUAUUAAACUUGAGCUACAUGCAUCUUCCUGCCCAUCUGCGGGCAUGCUUUUUGUACUUUGGUAUGUAUCCCGAGGACCGCGAAAUCGGGAGGGACGAUCUGGUUCGGCAAUGGAUAGCUGAAGGCCUUGUCAGUAAUUUGGAUGGGCAUGACCUAGAAGAUGUUGGGAGGAGUUAUUUCAAUGAGCUUAUUAACAGAAGUAUGAUUCAGCCUGGUAUGAUAUGCAAUGAAGAGGUGGUGUCAUGCAGAGUACAUGACAUGAUGCUUGAUUUGAUCCUAAGCAGGUGUGAUGAAGAUAACUUUGUAAGUGUGGGGUACAAUUAUAAUGACAUGGCAAGAUUGCAUUGCAAUAAAUACAAGGUUCGCCGGUUAUCUCUGAGUUCUGUGGCUAGUCGUGGAGCAACAUAUGCCCCAACUAUUGAUAUCUGCCUAUCACAAGUUCGAUCAUUUACACUUUUCUGGACCCGCCUGCCUUCUCUUUUGUUGUUCAAGUAUCUCCGGGUGUUGAGAAUAGAAGAAAAAAGCCAAGGUCAGGAGACUACACUUGACCUCACUGCUAUUGGUCAAUUAUUUCUGUUGAGGUAUUUGCAUGUUACAGUGUCAUGUUACGUACAACUCCCUGCUAAAUUUGAAGGGCUUGUUUACUUGGAGACAUUGGACAUGCCUCGUGCCCAGCUCAAGAGCACCCCCUCAGAUAUAGCCCAAUUGCCUCAGUUGUCAUAUCUUGAUAUUCGGAUGGAAAAAUUCAUGUGUGAAUGUAUUGGGAAUAUGAAAUCACUGCGCUCUGGUAAUAGAUGGUGA
rnacentral:rRNA from 1 species